rnacentral:rRNA from 1 species
UGGGGAGAAUUGGAUGUAGCUUUUUCUGUAGAUGUCCAUGGAUAUAUAAUUUACCUGAUUCCAAGUCCGUAUAAGAAAGUUUUGCCUAUAUUAAGGAAUGACACUCGAAUG